rnacentral:rRNA from 1 species
GAUGAACGCUGGCGGCGUGCCUAAUACAUGCAAGUCGAGCGAACAGACGAGGAGCUUGCUCCUCUGACGUUAGCGGCGGACGGGUGAGUAACACGUGGAUAACCUACCUAUAAGACUGGGAUAACUUCGGGAAACCGGAGCUAAUACCGGAUAAUAUAUUGAACCGCAUGGUUCAAUAGUGAAGGACGGUUUUGCUGUCACUUAUCGAUGGAUCCGCGCCGCAUUAGCUAGUUGGUAAGGUAACGGCUUACCAAGGCAACGAUGCGUAGCCGACCUGAGAGGGUGAUCGGCCACACUGGAACUGAGACACGGUCCAGACUCCUACGGGAGGCAGCAGUAGGGAAUCUUCCGCAAUGGGCGAAAGCUUGACGGAGCAACGCCGCGUGAGUGAUGAAGGUCUUCGGAUCGUAAAACUCUGUUAUUAGGGAAGAACAAAUGUGUAAGUAACUAUGCACGUCUUGACGGUACCUAAUCAGAAAGCCACGGCUAACUACGUG